AGAAACUAUAUCUAAGUUUAAGAAGAUGAUAUAUAACUUAUUAUGGGACGGUGGUAGUGAGAAAGUAAAACGCUCAGUGCUAAGAAAAAAUUAUUUAGAAGGGGGGUUAAAAAUGACAGAUCUAGAUUCUUACAUUGAAGCAAUGAAAAUAAAUUGGGUUAAAAGGCUUACAGAUGAAACUUGGGCAAACUGGAAAAUUAUUCCAACCUACUAUUUCAGUGAGUUUGGGGGUAAGCACCUUAUAUUUAAAAUGAAUCUGGGUUCUCAUAAAUCAUUAAAGAACAUAAAAAACCUGCCUACUUUUUACUUAGAAAUCUUAAAAUGCUGGAUUAAAAAUGGUGACGGGAAGACAAAAAAACCUGAGAACUUUUUAGAUAUAAGGAAACAAGUUAUAUGGAGAAAUCAAUAUAUUAAAAAUCAAGGCAAAAUUUUGUAUUUUAAACAUUGGAUAGAAGAAGAUAUAAUUUUUAUUAACGACAUAAUCGACGAUAAAGGAGAAAUUUCUCAAUUUUUUUUAGACAAACUUAAAAGGAAACAAAAUUGGAUAGCAGAAAC
rnacentral:lncRNA from 1 species